GUUAAUGAAGGCAAAUUAGUCAUGGCAAAUAAAAAGUAAAACUUGCCAUGGCAAUAAAAGUUAAAGAUUGCCAUGCGGAUUUAAGUAAAUUUGCCAUGUUAAUAAGGGUCAAUUUGCCAUCGGCAAAUAAAAAGUAAAAACUUGCCAUGGCAAUAAAAGUUGAAUGAUGCCAUGGCAAAUAAAAGUUAAAUAAUGCCAUGGGGAUUUAGGUAAAUUUGCCAUGUUAAUAAAGGUCAAAUAAUUAGUAAAACUUGCCAUGGCAAUAAAAUUUAAAUUUGCCAUGGGGAUUAAGAUAAAUUUGCCAUGUAAAUAAAAGGUUAAUUUGCCAUGGCAAAAAAAGUAAAACUUGACGUGGUAAUAAAAGUUAAAUAUUGCCAUCGGGAUUUAUGUAAAUUUGCCAUGUUAACAAAGGUCAAAUGAAAAGUAAAACUUGCCCACGGAAAUAAAAGUUAAAUAUUGCCAUGGGGAUUUAGGUAAAUUUGCCAUGUUAAUAAAAGGAAAUUAGCCAUGGCAAAUAAAUAGCAAAAACUUGCCAUGGCAAUAAAAGGUAAAUAUUACCAUGGGUAUUGAGGUAAAUUUGCCAUGUUAAUAAUGGUUAAAUAAAUAGUAAAACUUACCAUUGCAAGAUUUUCCAUUUUGUGUUGUUUUUGUCAAUUUAAUGAAUUACCGCAGCAAAAUGCAAAUGGGUUGGAUGGCAAUUUUAGAACUGUUGAUAGCUAUGUAGUGGCAAUUAUGUGAAAAGAAACAUGGCAAAGUGCACUGGAUAUUUUUCCAUGGGAAACAUAUCAUAAUUUCCACGCAUCGAAACUUAAGUCAUGAUGGAAAACACAUCAUAAUUUGCCAUCAGGUUUACAAAGUUCUGUGCCCGUUUGUGUGAAAAUUUGAUUUGUGUAGCUACAUAGUGAGCAAGUCCAACCACUCAUCCAUCAGUUAACAAAAAAAUGUCUAUUCCUAAUUCGUAAUAACAAUGAGAUUGGACUUGAAAGAAAAGUAAAUGCAGCAAAAAAAGGACGCGAGGUUAGCAGCCUCACAUUGCAGAAGAGAUGAAAUGAAUCCCACUGGAUAUGUGGCCGUCGCUUGAGCUAUCCCAGACUUGGAGACGCCGUCUUGUCGUUGCUGGUGGUGAACACCCUCCUCCCUGCCCCAGCAAGCUCUUCUGUGUGCCCCGGAUCCGGCUGCCAGCAAAUCGAGCUCCAGCUUGUUCCCCUCGCCUCCUUCUACGGCUGGGACGAUGGGGAGGAGGCCUCACCGCGCCAAAGCAGGAUUCGCAGCGCCACACAUCAAGCCUGCUGGAUGUGGGCCUCGCCGAACUCCCCGACGAGCGUGCUGGUGGUGAGCCUCCGCCUCUCCGCUGCAUGCCGCCCUUCUCCAUCCAGCCUGCUGCCGCUCGCCGCACUCCUCGACGAGCGUGCUGAUGCUAACGCCGAGCUCGUCUGGCAAGCCUCCGCUUCUCCCCCGCCUCUUCUCCCAACGCGUCGGCAGCCUCCGGCCUGAUUUCGGCCAGGUCCGGCCCCUGCACCACCGGUGGAACUUCUCCCCGCCGCUGCCCGCCUCAUCUCCGUCGCGUCACGACUCCGGCGAGGACAGAUCAGCCCACCUCGUCGCCGGCGCGCCGUGUCCCGAUGCUGGGUCCGAGAGGAGCUCCUCCCUGCUGUCGCCCGCCUCGUCUCCGCAGAGGAGCCAGCUCGCCUCCACGCCGGAGCUCCUGAGCGCCGCCGCUUGGCCACCUGCAGGUCGCCAUCCCAGGCGCCGUCGGUGAGCUACCGCCUCACCUCUCUCUUCCUCCCAUCCAUUCCUUGUCUAGUUGCUUGCGUUGAGUCUCGAGUGGAUAAGGUGUGGGGCGAAGGGAGGGGGAGUGACUGCAUCGUUCGGUCGCUCGUGUAGGAAACCCGAACGAGCGGGAAAAAUGACGUGGCAGAGUUCUGUUCCAAGAUUCGUGCGCGAAAAACGGAGGGUGGAUUCGGCGUUCGGGGCGAGAAUCGCAAAAACCGC
rnacentral:rRNA from 1 species